UGCUAUCAGAGGAUCAUCCCCGGUGGAUUAUUCUGACACUGAUGGAACCGAUGAGGAUUGUUUAAAUGAUCAGCCAUUGGCUCCAUGCUGUGAUGAAGGUGUUCCAAAGUUGAGAAGGACGAAAAGCAUUUGGAUGAAAAAAGUUCCAGAUUUUUCUGAUGCCCUCUACGACAGUGAUGACUGUACAGAGGGCCCUUCAGCUCAGUCCAAGUUUGAGAUGGCUUUACAAAGGAUGCAUACAUUAGAAGAUUUCUGUCAACGUGUCAGUGAUUCAGAUGAGAGUAUUGUGGAAGAAACCGAUUAUGAGGAUUCCAUAAAGGAUGAUUUCAAUGAGAAAUCAGACAUUGGGGUUGUUCCAAAG